CAGAGUUCGUGCCCUCACGGGUAGAUCUCCCACCCUUGUGUAUUUCAUACCUGUGUUGCUUUGGCAGGCCGCUGGGCUGCGUUGCGGCCUGGCCACCGGCUCCUCGGGGCUGGUGCGCGCCUGCCAGAGGCUCCUUCAACUCCUGUCUGUCAGUGUUGUCUGAGUAUCAUGCAAAAUCGUUA
rnacentral:misc_RNA from 1 species